rnacentral:rRNA from 1 species
GACGAACGCUGGCGGCGUGCCUAAUACAUGCAAGUUGAGCGCUGAAGGUUGGUACUUGUACCAACUGGAUGAGCAGCGAAGGGGUGAGUAACGCGUGGGGAAUCUGCCUUUGAGCGGGGGACAACAUUUGGAAACGAAUGCUAAUACCGCAUAAAAACUUUAAACACAAGUUUUAAGUUUGAAAGAUGCAAUUGCAUCACUCAAAGAUGAUCCCGCGUUGUAUUAGCUAGUUGGUGAGGUAAAGGCUCACCAAGGCGAUGAUACAUAGCCGACCUGAGAGGGUGAUCGGCCACAUUGGGACUGAGACACGGCCCAAACUCCUACGGGAGGCAGCAGUAGGGAAUCUUCGGCAAUGGACGAAAGUCUGACCGAGCAACGCCGCGGGAGUGAAGAAGGUUUUCGGAUCGUAAAACUCUGUUGGUAGAGAAGAACGUUGGUGAGAGUGGAAAGCUCAUCAAGUGACGGUAACUACACAGAAAGGGACGGCUAACUACGUG